GCCUUUGUAGUAUAACGUUUAGUACGCUUGGUUCGUAUUCCAAAGGUCCAGGUUCGAGUCCCGGCAAGGGUC
rnacentral:tRNA from 1 species